UUACACAUGGCCUUUCAUAAAUGCCCUGCCUUAACUUACUCCCUCGUGCCCCGUCUCCCUCCCUCGCUACGUUUUCCUCGCACUUCACAGUUCAGCUACGAAAUGUAAUGGAUUCAAGCAUUCAACAGCAGUCAGCAACCUAGAUGACGGGGUAAAAAAUGUGAUGUUUUAGCUAGUUAGUCUCACACCGCACAAUUUGAUACCCAAAAUCUUUGGAUUGAUAAAUAAUGUGCCAUGCUCUACACAGUUGAUACUUGAGUCAAACACAAAUAGAAAACAUAAUAAAAAAAGGUUCAUUCUUAAACGUUUAAAAUAUAAGUUAUACUCACAAACACAUUAUUGCACAAAAAUGAACACCUCCUUUAUCCAUAGCUCUAUAUGCUUUGUACAAUUAUCUGUGGUUUUGCCUCCAUCUAGUGGGUCAAUGCUGUACUGCAGGGCCAAAUGUCUCAUCACGUGGCUUUAAGACCUAUGGUUUACCAUUAUCCAAUGGUGCAGCGUCAAGUUGAAAAAAAUAUCUAGAAAUCCAUGAUGGAGGCGUCUUCUCGUGAUCAAGCUGGUGGAGGUCUGUUGAACUGUCCUAGAAGGACCCAGUACAGCAAGAAGAUUCAGGACAUUCUGAAAUUAAUGAUGCAAGAGUCGAGACUCACCAACUUCCAGCAAAGACAGCUC